CUAACACAAUGGGCAGAUGUCCGAACCCCACUGAGGCAUCGUGUUCUCAGACUGUAAUGACAAGGGAUAAUCUAAACAGAUCCGAUUUCAUAUCCCCUCAAAUGGACGCAGAUAACAGAACUCAGAAGUCUGCUUUUACAGUUCCUAGAAUUUUGUGGAUCUGUGUAUUUACUUUACACGUGUUAUCUUCCCCGCUGACAAAUAAAGCAGGCAUUGUAUUUCCUCUUUUACAGGCUAGAUCAGUGAUGGAAGACCCUGCCAAUGGAAGGGCUCAGGGUAAGGGUGGCAGAGCUGGGAUUCCAACCAUCUCUCCUGCAUCCAGCUUUCCUGUGUUCUGUCCAGAUCCUGUUCAGUCCUCAUGGGCCACUCCCUCUUUCCUUUAACUGAGGCCAUCAGCUCUGGAUAUGACACUGUCUCCAUAAACAGCAGAGCACAGCUUGGCUAUAAAUCGCAUUAGUGUGCUCCUCCCUGGGACCCAACAGCAUCAGUUGCUUUCUUGAAUGUAAAGCUCUGGGUAUAACAUGUUUGCUUUAGAGAGUUUACCUCUGACUUCAAUGGAGAGGAGACACUUUUUUUUCCCAGUCCACAUUUACAGUAAAU
rnacentral:lncRNA from 1 species